rnacentral:rRNA from 1 species
GACGUAGGGCGCGAGCGUUGUCCGGAUUUAUUGGGCGUAAAGAGCUCGUAGGCGGCUUGUCGCGUCGACUGUGAAAACUCGGGGCUCAACUCCGAGCUUGCAGUCGAUACGGGCAGGCUAGAGUUCGGUAGGGGAGACUGGAAUUCCUGGUGUAGCGGUGAAAUGCGCAGAUAUCAGGAGGAACACCGGUGGCGAAGGCGGUUCUCUGGGCAUUACCUGACGCUGAGGAGCGAAAGUGUGGGGGAGCGAACAGG